GCUUAGCCCUGGAAGGACUAAUUAACUAAAGUGGCAUUCUGAGUAACAGCCAAGACUUUUUGGAGUCAGAAGAGUCUGGGAUCCUGAUUACUUUGGACGCCUGAGUUCGUCUCACAGGUUCCUGUGAUCUCUUCAGACACGGUAAUUGUGGUUCUGGCUGAAAUGAAUGACGCUCGGCAACACCACUGCCAUCUUCCAGCCCACAGAUGUCACAUCCUCUCGAGCGACCCCAUGGGACUCCUGACGGCAUGAGAGUCUGCCGUCUGGUCCCCGCAGAGGUCCCGGGGCACAGUCUGCUCCCCGGACGUAUUUGCUGGGCUGUCAAACAAAGACAGUGAGAUGCAGACAAGUCCCCUGCGUGUGAAGUCACAGCCUUUGGAAGUGAAGCUGCUGCGGAGAUAAGGAGAGGAAUUUGCAAGAGUCAAAAGCGCUUGUGAAGAAGAAGAGAGGACUUGGCCAGCCGGGGCAGACCUCUCGAGGACACAGCGGAGGCCGGCCAUACUUGACAAACCUCCCUGCGUGUUUUCACAAAGUCUCCGGGAGCCUCUGGGGAUAGCCGGCGGUCUCAGAGCAGAGCACUUGUGUCCCUGCCCCCUGCUCCCAUCAGUUAGAGAACUUCCAGAAAUGCUGGCCACAGGCGGCCCUCGACGGACCCACCAUGAGCGGGUCGCACGUGCGGGCAGGGCCACAGUGUUUGCUUCAGGACGACGGGAGUGUGGUCUCUGAGCCUGGUGUCCCGUCUCCCAGGAGCUGGAGCCCUGCUUGCCACGGGGCCUGUGUGGCUGUUGGGCUUUGCUGUUCCAGGCAGGGGAGCAGGAAUGCAGGCACAGAGGGCUGACCCCUUAGUUCAGAUAAGCUGGAAUCCCAUCGGGCUAAAUUCUGCGGCAGUGAUGAGCACGCUCCCCAGGCCAGUUUGUGGGGAGUCACUGUCCCCCAUCAGCAAUAGUCUGACGAAGGUUAGAACACAGGGCUUCCCUUUAUGCAAAGGGCACUGGGGUGUUGGAGGGAAGGGUCACACCAGGAUCACCCGGAAGGGAAGGCAGGCGGCGUCUCUGGCCCCAACCAGCUGCCCCCCUGUGAUCCUCCCAGUGGCUUCUACUCCAGAGAACAGACAGCCACCGAGUGUGACGUGUCCCCCGUGAAGACUCAGCUUCCCAGGAAGGGUUUGCAGACUGAUGGCUAAUUAAAGGUUCGCAGGAGGUUGGGGGCUUUGGCACUGAGCUGCUAAUGCUUUUGACAUUUGUCCAAAUUAAAAAU